GAUGAAGAACGUAGCGAAAUGCGAUAAGUAAUGUGAAUUCAGAAUUCCGUGAAUCAUCGAAUCUUUGAACGCACAUUGCGCCCCCUGGUAUUCCGGGGGGCAUGCCUGUCCGAGCGUCAUUGCAACCUUCAAGCGCGGCUUGUGUGUUGGGUCUCGUCCCCCGUGGACGGGCCCGAAAGGCAGUGGCGGCGUCCCGACAUGGUGCCCGAGCGUAUGGGAAUCCUCUUCCGCUCGAAUCGGCCCAUGCGGCGCUGGUCGUAACCAAAUUUUUUACCGGUUGACCUCGGAUCAGGUAGGGAUACCCGCUGAACUUAAGCAUAUCAAUAAGCGGAGGA
rnacentral:misc_RNA from 1 species